UACGGAGGGUGCGAGCGUUAUCCGGAUUCACUGGGUUUAAAGGGUGCGUAGGUGGGAAUGUAAGUCAGUGGUGAAAUCUCUGAGCUUAACUCAGAAACUGCCAUUGAUACUAUGUUUCUUGAAUUUUCUGGAGGUCAGCGGAAUAUGUCAUGUAGCGGUGAAAUGCUUAGAUAUGACAUAGAACACCAAUUGCGAAGGCAGCUUACUACCCGAAUAUUGACACUGAGGCACGAAAGCGUGGGGAUCAAACAGG
rnacentral:rRNA from 1 species